UGCAGUCGAACGGGGUGCUUGUCUUCGGAUAAGUUACCUAGUGGCAAACGGGUGAGUAACGCGUGGGAAACUACCUUUCAGUGGGGGACAACAGUUGGAAACGACUGCUAAUACCGCAUACGCUCUACGGAGGAAAGAUUUAUUGCUGAAAGAUGUGCCCGCGUCUGAUUAGCUAGUUGGUGGGGUAAAAGCCUACCAAGGCGAUGAUCAGUAGCUGGUCUGAGAGGAUGAUCAGCCACACUGGGACUGAGACACGGCCCAGACUCCUACGGGAGGCAGCAGUGAGGAAUAUUGGACAAUGGGGGCAACCCUGAUCCAGCAAUGCCGCGUGAAUGAAGAAGGCCUUAGGGUUGUAAAGUUCUUUCAACUGUGACGAUGAUGACGGUAGCAGUAGAAGAAGCCCCGGCUAACUCCGUGCCAGCAGCCGCGGUAAUACGGAGGGGGCGAGCGUUAUUCGGAAUUACUGGGCGUAAAGGGUGCGUAGGCGGCCCAUCAAGUUAGACGUGAAAGCCCCGGGCUCAACCUGGGAAUUGCGUUUAAUACUGGUGAGCUAGAGUAC
rnacentral:rRNA from 1 species